GCAGUCAGCCAAGCAGCCGCGCGCGCGAGCGUGAGGAAAGUCCGGGCUUCACAGAGCAGGAUAGCUGAUAACGUCAGCCGAGAGCGAUCUCAGGACAAGUGCAACAGAAAUAAACCGCCUUCCUCGGAAGGUAAGGGUGGAAAGGCGAGGCAAGAGCUCACCGGAGGCCAUGGUGACAUGGCCCCCCUGUAAACUCUAUCCGAAGCAACACCGACUCGGGGGCUACGGCUUGCUCGGCCAAUCUCCGGACAGGUGGCAAGAGGCGUGCGGCGACGUGCGUCCCAGAUAGAUGGCUGCAUAGACAGAACCCGGCUUACAGGCUGACUGCAUAU
rnacentral:RNase_P_RNA from 1 species